rnacentral:rRNA from 1 species
CGAAGGGGCUAGCGUUGCUCGGAAUGACUGGGCGUAAAGGGCGCGUAGGCGGACAUAUUAGUCAGGCGUGAAAUUCCUGGGGCUUAACCUGGGGGCUGCGUUUGAUACGGUGUGUCUUGAGUGGGGAAGAGGUCGUGGAAUUCCCAGUGUAGAGGUGAAAUUCGUAGAUAUUGGGAAGGAACACCGGUGGCGAAGGCGGCGACCUGGUCCUUUGACUGACGCUGAGGCGCGAAAGCGUGGGGGAGCAAACAGGAUU